UACGUAGGGUGCAAGCGUUAAUCGGAAUUACUGGGCGUAAAGCGUGCGCAGGCGGCGAUGUAAGACAGGUGUGAAAUCCCCGGGCUUAACCUGGGAACUGCAUUUGUGACUGCAUCGCUGGAGUGCGGCAGAGGGGGAUGGAAUUCCGCGUGUAGCAGUGAAAUGCGUAGAGAUCGGGAGGAACACCAGUGGCGAAGGCGGCUACCUGGACCAGCACUGACACUGAGGCACGAAAGCGUGGGGAGCAACAGG
rnacentral:rRNA from 1 species